UAACUAGAGAUAUAUUGACCUUGUAUUACAGAGCUCUGAGAAGAAUGCCUAAAGACUAUUUUGAUUACAAUGUUGAGGAGGAGGUGGAGAUUAUUCCGGAAUCUGAGAAGGAAGCAAAGGUGGUAGAGUUUGUUUACCAAGUUUGCAGAAAAACAUGUACACCUGGAGAAUAUAUCUCAUGGUUACAGGAUGGCAGGAUAAUCGAGGAAGUAAUCUUCAAGAGCUGUCCUACUCCUCUCGGAAAGAAGCAAAGAUCCUGUCCUGAGGAUCAGAUGAAACCCCGGGAGAGAGUUGAGAAGAUUAUCAAUGAUCUCUUUGAGUUUGGAGUUCCUGUCGAACUCCUGUUCGAUGUAGAUGAUCUGCUUAAAUCUAACAACAUUCCGAAGGUUACAGCUUGUCUCUUGGAGGUAAAGAUGAUGGUGUAUACAGGACAAGGCAGGAGCAAGCUUAAGUCUGUCCAGGACGUAGUUAAGGCUCCGUUCCGUUGCUCCGUCUGCAAAGAAAAGUUCUCCAGGAGUGAUCAGCUCCGUCACCAUCUCUGUGAAAACCAUCCGGAUAAAAUUGGGUUUAAUCUUAGAGCUCUUCUACAAAAAAUGACGACAUAAAUUAACUUUUAGAGAAUAUCUUCGAAAAACAACGAGGAUUUCAUUUAAAUAUUUCUUGAAAUGAAAUUUUGGAUUUGUACACUACAAGUUAGGCUGGGGAAACAACAUUUUUGCUUGUGUUGUAUUUGCUAGCGUCAUAGAGGUCAUUUUUGUAACAUGUCUUUUUUAUGUGAAAAAUUUCCAAGUCUGUCCUAUCCACAGAGCCUGUACUAGUCUAGUCUAGUUCUGUAGCCUGCUGAUCCUCAGUAAGCACUACCUAACUGCAGAGCCUGUACUAGUCUAGUCUAGUUCUGUAGCCUGCUGAUCCUCAGUAAGCACUACCUAACUGCAGAGCCUGUACUAGUCUAGUCUAGUUCUGUAGCCUGCUGAUCCUCAGUGAGCAUUACCUAACCCUUAAUAAUGUAAUGGGAAUGUUUUUUCAUAUAGAAAAAAAUUCGGUUUUCUAUUUGUAUAUAGCAAAAAUAAUAAUAGCAAAAAUGUCGUACUCAUAGCGCCAGUAGAACUAUGAAACCUGGAGAACUACCUAGUUAGUGGAUUAAAUAUAUGCUGACACACCAUAAACAUUCAGCUCAACUUUCCUCAUUCGUUUCAUUAAUAUUACUUUGAAAAUACAUUCAUUAAGAUUAACAAAUCCUCCCCCCCCUCCCCUUUACCUCCCCAUGUUUACAGGGUCGACCAAAAAGAAUGAGACUUCAGAGACAAUUACAGAUUUUCUCAAAUUUAUGGUUACCUGCAGUUUUAUACAUGUUUCUUUUUUUCCCUAAAUAAUGUAAAAUGCAUGAGUUUAUCAACUACAGCUGACCUAAUCAAUACAUCAUCUCGUUUUUCACCUUAGGUGGGUAACCCUGUUAUAGUUCUGCAUACAAAUUCUUAACCCCUGAAUUAUAUUCUUAAAUCUUGAAUAAGAAAAUGUUUUAAAUCCUUUUCCUAUAUUCAAUCUGCAACUCUUUUUCAAGUUGUGCAGAAAAAACAUUUUCAAUAGAUUAUUUCAAUUUUAAAAUCAAUCUAGAUAUCUAUACAUUUUAUCAAAAGGAAACAUUUAAUGUAUAAAAAUACAAAUAUGCCAUAAAUCCUGGUAACUAGUUAUGUACACUGUGCAGUUGUAUUUUAUCACUAACUGGUAUCAAGGGGACUUCCCUUUUAUAAUAUUGUUCACGAAUAAUGAAGCAUGCAUAUGAUAUGUUGAUCCCUAAUCACAUCAUCAAUAGAUAUUAUAUCAUCAUUUUAUUUUUUUUCUGUGAAUAGAAAUUGAUUUGAAACUGUUUUCUUAGGACCAAUGAAAUCUCAUUUGUCUUAAAUUGAGUUUAAUUUAAAUUAAAUAAUUCAUUAAUUCAAUUAAACACAUUUAGUUAUUUCCGGGCUGAGAUUUCUUGAUAAAAAAAAACAAUUUUAAAGAUUUUGAGUUAGAUUAUCCCAAUAUGAUUUAUUGUAUUGUUAUAUAAAAUAGUAAAUUCUAUAAAAAAUUCUUAUUGUAUAAUAUAGAUAAAUGCUAAUCUCUAAAUUUGAUGUGAUUAAGCGAGAAUAUGACUUGUAUUAUUGAUUAAUAAACCAGGAUUAUA
rnacentral:misc_RNA from 1 species